AGCCACCUUGCAGCCUCCUCUAUAUAACCAAAGCUUUGAAAAUUUCCCACCAGAUUUAGUACAAGAGCAGUCCUGAAUGGUAAACUCUUGUCUGCAGUGGGGUGAAGACUUAGACGGAAGCCGAACAAAACAGAAAAUACAAAUACUUGUUGAAGAUGGCAAAAGCUCCAGACUAUCUGUUAUGUUACGAGUGAAAGGCUAGUUUACAUUGUAAGUGAUGUUUAUGUUUUUUGUUUUCGGAGACAGACAAAUUUCUUUGGAAUUGUUGACCACUACUGUCAAAAAACAAAGCGAACCCUUAGUUUCAUUGAAGUGGAAAGUUCUGGUCCUCCACAUCACCCUCAAUUUACCUACAGAUAGGUGAUCAACAAUAAGGAUUACCCUGAGGGGAAGGGAAGGGAAGGAGCAUCGUUGAAGACAGACAAAAGGCUUCAAAGGACAGUCAGACUUGAACAGCAAGAACCAUGUCAUUGCAGAACCAUGUCAUUGCAGAACCAGGUCAAUGCUGUGUGUAAAGCAGAAGAAGAAGACAGACCUGGCGCAAGUCAAUGAAAGAGAGUUUGAAGACUUUGCUUGUGUACUCUACAUGCUGAAACCUGGAAAAGAGUGUAUAUAUGUAUUAAAAGUGAUGCAGUCUUGUGCAAAACAAUAAACAUAUUUUUCUCAGUGUCACAAAA